CAGGUGGGCCGGAUGGAGCUGUGACAACAGAAACAGCCACAAAAAAGAAAGUGCUGAAAAGGAAGGAGGAGGCAACCACUGAUUUGUUGCCAGGAGUCCUCAUAAACAAUUUGAGUGAUAUAUCAGAAAGCAAGAGGAGACGUGAAAGCUCAGGCCGAGCUGUCAAUCCUUCUAAGAGUGGCUUUGAAGAAAAGGAGUUGUCACAACAUGAAACUGAACAGGGCAGACAGAGCGAGCAGCUCAAGUACUGCAGCGAAAUCCUGAAGGAAAUGCUCUCGAAAAAGCACACAGCCUACGCCUGGCCUUUCUACAAGCCUGUCGACGCUGAAGCUCUGCAACUUCACGAUUACCAUGACAUCAUUAAAUACCCCAUGGACCUCAGCACUGU